rnacentral:rRNA from 1 species
GAUCAGUAGCCGGACUGAGAGGUUGAACGGCCACAUUGGGACUGAGAUACGGCCCAGACUCCUACGGGAGGCAGCAGUGGGGAAUAUUGCACAAUGGGGGAAACCCUGAUGCAGCAACGCCGCGUGAAGGAUGACGGUUUUCGGAUUGUAAACUUCUUUUCUUAGUGACGAAGACAGUGACGGUAGCUAAGGAAUAAGCAUCGGCUAACUACGUGCCAGCAGCCGCGGUAAUACGUAGGAUGCAAGCGUUAUCCGGAUUUACUGGGUGUAAAGGGAGCGCAGGCGGGACUGCAAGUUGGAUGUGAAAUACCGUGGCUUAACCACGGAACUGCAUCCAAAACUGUAGUUCUUGAGUGAAGUAGAGGCAGGCGGAAUUCCUAGUGUAGCGGUGAAAUGCGUAGAUAUUCGGAGGAACACCAGUGGCGAAGGCGGCUUGCUGGGCUUUAACUGACGCUGAGGCUCGAAAGUGUGGGGAGCAAACAGGAUUAGAUACCCUGGUAGUCCACACUGUAAACGAUGAUAGCUAGGUGUGGGGGGUCUGACCCCUUCCGUGCCGGAGUUAACGCAAUAAGCUAUCCACCUGGGGAGUACGACCGCAAGGUUGAAACUCAAAGGAAUUGACGGGGGCCCGCACAAGCAGUGGAUUAUGUGGUUUAAUUCGAAGCAACGCGAAGAACCUUACCAGGUCUUGACAUCCGACUAACGAGAUAGAGAUAUGUCAGGUGCCCUUCGGGGAAAGUCGAGACAGGUGGUGCAUGGUUGUCGUCAGCUCGUGUCGUGAGAUGUUGGGUUAAGUCCCGCAACGAGCGCAACCCCUGCCAUUAGUUGCUACGCAAGAGCACUCUAAUGGGACCGCUACCGACAAGGUGGAGGAAGGUGGGGACGACGUCAAAUCAUCAUGCCCCUUAUGACCUGGGCUACACACGUAAUACAAUGGCCGUUAACAGAGGGAAGCAAAGCGGUGACGCAGAGCAAAACCCUAAAAACGGUCCCAGUUCGGACUGUAGGCUGCAACCCGCCUACACGAAGUUGGAAUUGCUAGUAAUCGCGGAUCAGCAUGCCGCGGUGAAUACGUUCCCGGGCCUUGUACACACCGCCCGUCACACCAUGGGAG